rnacentral:rRNA from 1 species
GUGGGGAAUAUUGGACAAUGGGCGCAAGCCUGAUCCAGCCAUGCCGCGUGAGUGAUGAAGGCCUUAGGGUUGUAAAGCUCUUUCACCGAUGAAGAUAAUGACGGUAGUCGGAGAAGAAGCCCCGGCUAACUUCGUGCCAGCAGCCGCGGUAAUACGAAGGGGGCUAGCGUUGUUCGGAAUUACUGGGCGUAAAGCGCACGUAGGCGGAUAUUUAAGUCAGGGGUGAAAUCCCAGAGCUCAACUCUGGAACUGCCUUUGAUACUGGGUAUCUCGAGUAUGGAAGAGGUGAGUGGAAUUCCGAGUGUAGAGGUGAAAUUCGUAGAUAUUCGGAGGAACACCAGUGGCGAAGGCGGCUCACUGGUCCAUUACUGACGCUGAGGUGCGAAAGCGUGGGGAGCAAACAGGAUUAGAAACCCCUGUAGUCC